AAGCAUCUAAGCGGGAAGCCUGUUUCGAGAUGAGGUUUCGUUUGAGGUUCCCUGUAGAUUACGGGGUUGAUAGGCCGGAUCUGGACAGCAUGUGAGUGUUGGAGGUGACCGGUACUAAUUGACCGAGCGCUACAU
rnacentral:rRNA from 1 species